rnacentral:misc_RNA from 1 species
GAAAAAGAAGUCUUUCCUAAGAUCCACUGUGCGUAAGAGCUUCUUGUAUCUGUUUUCAUCCUUAGAAAUAGCCAAAUUGGACCGGGCAGUAGAAUUUGGUAUUGGAAUCAUUUCGCUCUUCGUAAUUGCAUAAAUUGCAUGGCCGCAGAUAGUUCCAAUCUUUCUUCGCUUUGUUAUUAAUAUCAUGUAAUGCGGUCCUAAAAACUUGAUGAUACCAACAAUUCCAUAACAAGUGGUCACAAAUUUAAGCCCACCCGUUAACUUGUUUCCUUCGUG